rnacentral:rRNA from 1 species
GACGAACGCUGGCGGCGUGCUUAACACAUGCAAGUCGAACGGAAAGGCCCCUUUGGGGGUACUCGAGUGGCGAACGGGUGAGUAACACGUGAGUAACCUGCCCUUGACUUCGGGAUAACUUCAGGAAACUGGGGCUAAUACCGGAUAGGAAUCCUUGCUGCAUGGUGGGGGUUGGAAAGCUUCGGCGGUUUUGGAUGGACUCGCGGCGUAUCAGCUUGUUGGUGGGGUAGUGGCUUACCAAGGCUUUGACGGGUAGCCGGCCUGAGAGGGCGACCGGCCACAUUGGGACUGAGAGACGGCCCAGACGCCUACGGGAGGCAGCAGUGGGGAAUAUUGCACCAGGGGCGGAAGCCUGAUGCAGCAACGCCGCGUGCGGGAUGACGGCCUUCGGGUUGUAAACCGCUUUCAGCAGGGGCGAAGCUUGUGGUGACGGUACCUGCAGAAGAAGCACCGGCUAACUACGUG